rnacentral:siRNA from 1 species
CUGCUAGAGAUUAUGGAAGCUAGC